rnacentral:rRNA from 1 species
AUUGAACGCUAGCGGGAUGCUUUACACAUGCAAGUCGAACGAGUGGCGGACGGGUGAGUAAUAUAUCGGAACGUGCCCAGUAGCGGGGGAUAACUACUCGAAAGAGUGGCUAAUACCGCAUACGAUUGGAUCUGCCCAUAUCGGAUUAGCUAGUUGGUGGGGUAAAGGCUCACCAAGGCGACGAUCCGUAGCUGGUUUGAGAGGAUGACCAGCCACACUGGAACUGAGACACGGCCCAGAUUCCUACGGGAGGCAGCAGUGGGGAAUUUUGGACAAUGGGGGAAACCCUGAUCCAGCCAUCCCGCGUGUAUGAGAAGGCCUUCGGGUUGUAAAGUACUUUUGGCAGAGAAGCGGUACCUGCAGAAUAAGCACCGGCUAACUACGUGCCAGCAGCCGCGGUAAUAC